GUGACAAUUACUUACUUAUUGGCAUAAGUGUGGAAAGCAUGAAGGACGAUCGGUUCCCUUGGAGUAACACAAAAAAUUUGCACCAAAAUUGGUUGACUUCUCCGACCGCAUUGCUGGCCUAAAAGGGACUAUAAUGACAAAAAGGAAGAAAAAAAUA